AGACGGUCACAGACGAGAGCGGCUGCGGUUAACGAGCGGAGCUAAGUUUCAAAGGCAAGACAGCAGACAUCAUGAAGUCCUAAGUCGAAGAAUUGAAGACUAAAGGGACUUUUCACCAACAUUCACCAUUCCUGUGAUUCAACAAUAAUGGUACAGGGAAUAAUGCAGGUAUCUAGAUUCUCUCAGAUCCAGGACUUGCUCACAGCCGCUACAGCAUCUGCAUUGAUAUGAGUGCUACCUACCAAGUUGACUUAUCCUCUCACAGGAAAUACCGAAAAAAAGGUUUAAUGAAAGAGUGCAGAGGCUGAGAGGAGAAGCUGUGUAUAUGUCUGGAAUGACAGCUUAACAACCCAGCAGACAGACAAGACAACCAGUGAACCUUAUUACAUGUAUAUAUGGAAAGUCAAGGUCCAUGUCUCUGCUUCUCCCACUGUAACUCAAGCAGUAACAGCUCCUGGACUAGAAACAUGCUGAGGCAGCGAGGAGAGAUGGUAAUCAGAUUAGUUUUCCCAAAACUUUAUGCAAGGCAGAUGGCCAUCAGUUGUGACUAUGUCACUCUGUUAAGGCCUUUGUUGUUCCUGAUAAAUCAUGGCGGCUUGAUGGACAGUGAUGAAGAGCUGGAAAAAAGUGUUUAGCUGACUUUGCUGCUUCAAGAGCAUCGGAUCAGCCAGAGAAAGAAUCGAAGGUAAUUGGAUUCAAUAAAAUUGUGCUGCAAUUGAUCAUUCUGUAGGUUUGGAAAGUUGAGGCUUUGGCUCACAGAUAUACACACAUGUCCUCACACAUACACACACACACACACACACACACACACAUACACACAUACACACAUCCGCUGCUCGCACUCGUCACGUCAAACAAAGUGAGAUGGCCUAGAUAGGUAGACGGGGAGACAAGCAGGGUGUUAGAGGGAGCAGAAAGGAGUGGGGAUCUGAGGCCAGAUUCAUUUCCACCUCCAGUGGAGGGAGACCACCUAUUUAGCCUGUCUGUGAGAGGCCAGGCCACAGGGACGAUAACAGAUCACAGCCCAUCAGCCGUCAGAGCUCAGAUCUAACUGAUGACGUUGAGAAGAGAAGUCAUGGCUGCAUUUCACGAACUGAAAGAAUGGAGGAGGAGCCCCAAUCUCCUGUCUUCCCACCUCAUUACCCACACCUGGAUAGGACUGCAGGGGAUCCUAAUUUAAGUCACUCGUUAGCAACGUCCUAAUGCGUUCUGACAGCAACAAGAGCAGGGGAUGGAGGGGAGGUGAAAGAGAGACUGAAGGAGAAAGAGGGUGAGGAAGGGUGAAGGAGGCAUAGAAUUGUCUUGACAGAGACAACCAGAAGGAGGGGAGGCAUCUGUGCAUUACGAGAACUAUUCUUAUUUCUUGCUUUGAUUUCCAUAAAAUGAGCAUCAUCCUAAAUCAUCCGAGCCCUCCGCCGGUGGCCUUGUAUGCAUAAACCAUUAGGUUCCAUUGCUAAUGCACAUAAACUAAUGAACACAGUAUCGUUUUCCACUACUGUACACCGCCGCACAACAGGAAAUCAAAUAAAACCCUGUUUACCAAAUAAAUUCUUCUGUGUCUGUUAGGCCUGCCUCCGGUUGAUUGUAUGUUUUGCAGCAGACACAGCUGCACGGUGGCUACAAACAACACAACACAUCAGCAUGCUGGGUAAUGGAUCGGAAGAAAUUAUCAAGGGAGUUGUGGUAAAUUUGACUUCUGAAAGUGAAGCGUGGUGAAUUUACACCUCCAAAUGGGUUUGGAACAAGGUCGGAAAGAUUUUCAGUAAAAGCAAAUCCCUUUGUCUGCCCGAGACGUGGAAGGAUAUAUCCUCCAUUACCUUACAAUUGCAAGAACCCAUGUUCACCUCUAGCACAAAUCCCAUUUCACUGGCCCCAGCAAAAUGUUUUACAAGAUUUCCAUAUUAGGCCAGUUACAUCCCAUAUUUAGUAAUUGAAAGUCAAUGAAUGUCUCUUCCACGAGACUGCUGGUAAAAAACAGUUGUGAUAUUCGUUUGAGGUGGGAAAAGGGGGUUUGUAGGUCUUUAACAAAUGGGGCAGAGAGAAAUUUAGAAACACUUAGAAAAUAAAGACUAAGAAGCUCAAAUUUGGUAUUUAUUAUUAUCUCUGUUACUUUCUAAACUUUUACUUGAUCGUAGCAGAAAAGAAGCAGAGACCAAAGAAAUAGGUCCCAGGAAAGCUGGACUCAGAUGAAGCAGGUGUCAACUGACUCACCAGGAAGCCAUUAUUUUUUUACAUAUAACCCUCCAAAAUUUCCAUUUUCUGUGAUAUGAAAAAUCUGAAGUUUGAGAGAGUCAUUUUGAGUCUGAGGCAACACAGCUGCGAACUCCUCUAAAACUGGGAGACAACAAACUGAAUAAGAGAGACGGUUGGAGAGGCUGGGGAUCAGCAAGUUCAUCUUGAUAAAUAUGAGAAAAUGUUCCAAACCGACUCAUUAUUCCUGACCUGGUGUAUAAUUCUGGCUCGGCAGCCUGUCGAAGCAGCGCGGUGAGAAGCAGAGAGAGAGGGAGGGAAGUGACAGGAGAAGAGCAGAGGGAAAGAACAGCUGGUGACAAUACGCUUCAUGUUGGCAUUUGCGGAUGAAAAGGGACCUUCAACCUUCAAAGGCACUGAAAGACGAGUGUGAGAAGAAAAAGGCGAAAUAAUAAUAAAGUGCCAGAAUUAAUGGACCUGCAGCGGACAUCACUGUUGUUUUUUUUUGUUUGUUUGUUUGUUUUUUUAAGGGAAACUGACACUUGUUAUCAUUGAUAGCAAAAACAGAACCUUGUGGGAAAAGUUAGUGGUUAAAAAUUGUUCAUUUUGCAGAUUUGAUGUUGAGUGUAAAAUUAUUAAACUGUAAACAUUAGACACAGCCGAUGACGAUGAUACAGCAGCUAAAGAGUAGGUUGUCUGAAAUGACGCAUCCAGCCUGUGAUUAAAUUUACAGGAAACACAGCAGGGAAGUAGUGUAUUCAUUUGACUUAUAGUUUUCUGUACCAAUGAGUGCAGUUGGACACUCAGCAACUCAAAAUUACUUUAUAUAAGCCGAGAGUUUGAAAUGUAAAAAUGUUGGCAUAUUUUUUUCAGAGGUAUUUCUUUGUGGAGAGUUUAACCUCAAACUACGUGACUCAGCGAGGAUUGUAGAAAUACCAUGGUCAUGGUUACGAAUUAACCUUAGUAUCUUCAACAAUAGCUACAACCCUGAACAUUUGACAAAUGAAAAUUAACAUUCCUAGAGGAUUCAACAUGUACGACCUCAUAUUUUAUGAUUCACCUGAUAAACUGAGAAUAAACGUCAGUG